GAGUUUGAUCCUGGCUCAGGACGAACGCUGGCGGCGCGCCUAACACAUGCAAGUCGAACGGGACUAUGCGAGAUGAAGUUUUCGGAUGGAAUUUUGUAUAGUUUAGUGGCGGACGGGUGAGUAACACGUGAGCAACCUGCCUUCGAGAGGGGAAUAACGGCUGGAAACGGUCGCUAAUACCGCAUAACAUACAGGAGGGACAUCCCUUUUGUAUCAAAGAUUUAUCGCUCGAAGAUGGGCUCGCGUCCGAUUAGGUAGUUGGUGAGGUAACGGCCCACCAAGCCGACGAUCGGUAGCCGGACUGAGAGGUUGAACGGCCACAUUGGGACUGAGACACGGCCCAGACUCCUACGGGAGGCAGCAGUGGGGGAUAUUGCACAAUGGGGGAAACCCUGAUGCAGCGACGCCGCGUGUAGGAAGACGGUCCUCUGGAUUGUAAACUACUGUCCCCAGGGACGAAGAUGACGGUACCUGGGGAGGAAGCUCCGGCUAACU
rnacentral:rRNA from 1 species